GUGACUGCGUACCUUUUGUAUAAUGGGUCAGCGACUUAUAUUCUGUAGCAAGGUUAACCGUAUAGGGGAGCCGGAGGGAAACCGAGUCUUAACCGGGCGUUAAGUUGCAGGGUAUAGACCCGAAACCCGGUGAUCUAGCCAUGGGCAGGUUGAAGGUUGGGUAACACUAACUGGAGGACCGAACCGACUAAUGUUGAAAAAUUAGCGGAUGACCUGUGGCUGGGGGUGAAAGGCCAAUCAAACCGGGAGAUAGCUGGUUCUCCCCGAAAGCUAUUUAGGUAGCGCCUCGUGAAUUCAUCUCCGGGGGUAGAGCACUGUUUCGGCUAGGGGGCCAUCCCGGCUUACCAACCCGAUGCAAACUGCGAAUACCGGAGAAUGUUAUCACGGGAGACACACGGCGGGUGCUAACGUCCGUCGUGAAGAGGGAAACAACCCAGACCGCCAGCUAAGGUCCCAAAGUCAUGGUUAAGUGGGAAACGAUGUGGGAAGGCCCAGACAGCCAGGAUGUUGGCUUAGAAGCAGCCAUCAUUUAAAGAAAGCGUAAUAGCUCACUGGUCGAGUCGGCCUGCGCGGAAGAUGUAACGGGGCUAAACCAUGCACCGAAGCUGCGGCAGCGACGCUGAUGCGUUGUUGGGUAGGGGAGCGUUCUGUAAGCCUGCGAAGGUGACCUGUGAGGGUUGCUGGAGGUAUCAGAAGUGCGAAUGCUGACAUAAGUAACGAUAAAGCGGGUGAAAAGCCCGCUCGCCGGAAGACCA
rnacentral:rRNA from 1 species